rnacentral:rRNA from 1 species
CUCAGAUUGAACGCUGGCGGCAUGCCUAACACAUGCAAGUCGAACGGUAACAGGUCUUCGGAUGCUGACGAGUGGCGGACGGGUGAGUAAUGCGUAGGAAUCUGUCUUUUAGUGGGGGACAACCCAGGGAAACUUGGGCUAAUACCGCAUGAGCCCUGAGGGGGAAAGCGGGGGAUCUUCGGACCUCGCGCUAAGGGAAGAGCCUACGUCUGAUUAGCUAGUUGGUAGGGUAAAGGCCUACCAAGGCGACGAUCAGUAGCUGGUCUGAGAGGACGACCAGCCACACUGGGACUGAGACACGGCCCAGACUCCUACGGGAGGCAGCAGUGGGGAAUUUUUCGCAAUGGGGGCAACCCUGACGAAGCAAUGCCGCGUGGAUGAAGAAGGCCUUCGGGUUGUAAAGUCCUUUCGUGGGGGACGAAAAGGCGGGUCCUAAUACGAUCUGCUGUUGACGUGAACCCAAGAAGAAGCACCGGCUAACUCCGUGCCAGCAGCCGCGGUAAUACGGGGGGUGCAAGCGUU